rnacentral:rRNA from 1 species
UGGCACUUCAGAGGAUAGCAGAAGCGUUUGGGAAAGCGCGCCAGAGAGGGUGAGAGCCCCGUAAGCGAAAUCCAAAGAAGGCCUAUCAGUAUCCUGAGUAGGGCGGGACACGUGAAAUCCCGUUUGAAUCCGCGAGGACCAUCUCGCAAGGCUAAAUACUAACCAGUGACCGAUAGUGAACCAGUACCGUGAGGGAAAGGUGAAAAGAACCCCGGGAGGGGAGUGAAAGAGAACCUGAAACCGUGUGCCUACAAGUAGUCAGAGCCCGUUAACGGGUAAUGGCGUGCCUUUUGUAGAAUGAACCGGCGAGUUGCGUUAGUCAGCAAGGUUAAGUCAGAAAAGACGGAGCCGUAGCGAAAGCGAGUCUGAAGAGGGCGAGCAGUUGGCUGACGCAGACCCGAAACCAAGUGACCUACCCAUGACCAGGUUGAAGGCGCGGUAAAACGCGCUGGAGGACCGAACCCACGUAAGUUGAAAAUUGCGGGGAUGAGUUGUGGGUAGCGGUGAAAUUCCAAACGAACUUGGAGAUAGCUGGUUCUCUCCGAAAUAGCUUUAGGGCUAGCCUCGCAAAGAGGAUGCUGGAGGUAGAGCUCUGUUUGGACUAGGGGCCCGUCAAGGGUUACUGAAUUCAGAUAAACUGCGAAUUCCAGACAUUUAUGUGCGGGAGUCAGACUGCGAGUGAUAAGAUCCGUAGUCGAAAGGGAAACAGCCCAGAUCACCAGUUAAGGUCCCAAAAUUCAUGCUAAGUGGAAAAGGAUGUGGAGUUGCGCAGACAACUAGGACGUUGGCUCAGAAGCAGCCAUCAUUCAAAGAGUGCGUAAUAGCUCACUAGUCGAGUGACGCCGCGCCGAAAAUUUACCGGGGCUAAGCAUGAUACCGAAACUGUGGAUGUGCAUUUAUGCA